rnacentral:piRNA from 1 species
UGGUGUCUGAACCAGCUGGUCCU